AUGCCCUACAUACCAGCAGACGUCACAAACCUAAAGGCAAAGUACCAUAGAGAGAGUAGGUUGGCUGACAUAGAAGACACAAUAGCCUACUUCGAAGAGAAAGCAAAAGCAGAUACUGAUUUCUUCUACAUGAUAAGAUUGGACGAUGAGGACCGUGUCAGAAACAUGUAUUGGGUGGAUGGUGCUGCAAGAAGAGCCUACAAACAUUUCCGUGAUUGCAUUUCAUUCGACGUGACAUAUCUCACUAAUAUGUACAAGAUGCCCUGCGUUCCAUUCAUAGUAAUAAAUAACCACAAUCAGUCAUUGCAGUUCGGUUGCGGACUCGUUCAGAAUGAAGAUACGGAUGGUUACACUUGGCUGUUCAAAACCUUCUUGGAGUGCAUGGGUGGACUUGCUCCGAUGAACAUAAUAACAUACCAAGAUUUUAGCAUACGUGCAUGCAUAGAGGAGGUCUUUCCGUUGGCAGUGCACAUGCACUGCAGGUGGCAUAUUAUUAAGAAGGCUGAGGAGACGCUAGGACCAUUCUUUGCUGACCGUCCAGAGCUACACAAGGCAUUUGAGUUGUGCGUCGACCACAUCUUGACGGUGGAGGAGUUUGAACGGAGCUGGACGGCUAUGAUUGAAACAUACCAAGUCCAAGACAACGAGACACUUACUAGCCUGUGGGAGAAGCGAAUGUACUGGGUGCCGGCCUACUUCAUGCAGUGCUUCUUUCUAUUUCUGCAGACUACUCAGCGCAGCGAGGGGUUCAAUGCUUCUUUGAAGCGGUACGUGAGCCCUGGCAACUCAUUGCUGCAGUUUGCCAAGCAGUACACAGCUUUGCAACAGAAAAUACUGGGAUCUGAGCUACAGCAAGAAGCAAACACCGCGCUCAAGCAACCUAAAUUGCUAACAUAUUUACCGAUGGAGAGGCAGAUGAGCAAGAUAUACACCAACAAGAUUUUUAACAAGUAA
rnacentral:rRNA from 1 species